rnacentral:lncRNA from 1 species
CCUUGGGGCUGGACCAAGCGGGCACGCCACUGUGGCCCUGAUGGUAAUGGUCUGGGUCCAUGGUUGCCCUUCCCUCUGGGGCUGCAAUUCAGGCCAUGGCUGAGGAUCAGUGAGGGUCCAGAGGGCAAUGUGGUAGUGUGAGAGCACAGGGCCAGCGCGAGAUCUGCCUGGGCAAGUGGGAGACCACUGGUCUGUGGCAGUGUGGAGCAGGCACUGAGACAUGGGGCAUUUAGGUGAAGGGACUGGGGAACAAAUGACCAAGCAGCCCCUUCUCUCUCUCCUCUUUCUCUCAUUCUUUCUUUAUUCCUUCGUCUGUUGAGGUUUUGCUUACCAGAUCAUAAUUCUGACGUUUGCCCCAUUGAAACUUUGAUCUUCUUCCAGCGUUUGGACAAGCCAGUGUCUCUCCCUCUCUCUGACCCGCCUUGCCCAUCUGGUGAUUUCCCCCAACAGCAACUGUGGCAGAGCCAGCAGAUGACACAGCAGGGGGUUUCCAUGGUGGGAAGUGACGGUGAAGCCACCAGGAGCUGUGUAUGUGGCUCUCACCAGGGAGCAGUGAGCCACAGGAUGGUGAUCCUGGAGCAAGGGAUUCUGAAGUUCAGAAGCAGGAAGUGAAUGAAUCAUGCUCCCCAGGGAGACAUUUCUAACACUCCUCCUUCAGAAACAAAGAACCCUGUCAUAUCUUAUUCUAGACAGAUUACAAAAUUCAAGCCAUUUGAAUAUGCUACGUUAAACAUAGAAAUAAAUGAAAGGUUGGAUGCAGGUUCUCAAACAUAAAGGACUAUGAAUACAAUCGUUCUUAAUCAGUAUAGACCACUAGGGGAAUGUUGGCAAAGAGUAAGCUCGGGGAGAGGGAGAGGGAGAAGCAGCCGUGUGGCCUUCGCCCCGUGGAUCGCGGCGUGCUUGGGUCAUGGUGUGUCCCCUCAGGGCGGGCUCAGAACAGUUUGAGGUCAGGGCUCCCACACUUGCAGAGUUUCACUCUCUGAGCUGCUGAGGAUCGGGAAGACCCCAUGAGUGAAGGACAGCCCUGUCCGGGGAACCCCGGG